rnacentral:rRNA from 1 species
UACGAAGGGGGCUAGCGUUGUUCGGAAUUACUGGGCGUAAAGCGCGCGCAGGCGGUCCUUUAAGUCGGGGGUGAAAGCCCAGAGCUCAACUCUGGAACUGCCUUCGAAACUAGAGGACUUGGGUACGGGAGAGGUGAGUGGAAUUCCGAGUGUAGAGGUGAAAUUCGUAGAUAUUCGGAAGAACACCAGUGGCGAAGGCGGC